CACAGCCUUUACUUAAUACUUUAAAAGUUCAAAUACCACUGGUAUCUAUGCUAGUGAUGUUAGUAUUUAGAAAAAAAAUACAGGACAUGUAGCUUAACCACCUUUUAAGAUAGAUAUGUUUAUGUUUUUGCAUCUUACUUUGUUUUGCAUGAAGCCUUUGAACAGAACUACAUGGCUCAGGAUAACAGUGGUGGUUCUGGCUUUUUGGGCUAAUGGCUUUAGACCUUUAUGUGUUUCAAAUACUUAAACUCAUGUAAUUCAAAUAUUUUGUGGUCUGUAUGUUGAAGUCAAACUAAGCAUCCUAGAAUUUGAGUCUGUUGCUAUGAAAAGCCUCGGGACACUUUGUCUGUCUCAAGUUCAAAUCUUUAUUUGCUUUAUUGGCGUGAACGAAUCAGUGGUUAUUGCCAAAGCCGUGUACAGAGCAAUGAUUACAGUUACAUUACAUAUACAUAUAUCUCACUUUCUGCAAGUCAGACGCAGUUAGACGGCUGUUUAACGAGAUGAGUCUGGUUCUGUUUAAAGGACGUUUUUCUCUGUUACAUCCUUCCUCCCAAUGGUGGAUUAAUGUUCUCUGUUAAUAAUAUAAUAAAGAGUAUGCACUAAUUCUGCUCUUUUUGUAAAGUGUAUGUUAUCAUAUCCUCAUAUUUGUGCUUACCUCUUGAAUAUUAUAAAUUUAAAUUGUUUUUUUUUUCAUUAACAGUGUGACAGAAGUAUUCUUAUAUAGAAUACUUUUAAAUGUGGAUAGUUUUCCAUAACAGGAACUAAAAGGAAUCAACUGUAAACGACGGCAAAUAACCCAAGGCCCCCAAAAACAGGUUUAUCUGGCCUCAAUAAAUAAUAAAGAUGAGUCAUGUUAAAGCAGCAGAAGCAGCAGUCUGAAACAGUCUAUGAUCAGUUUAGUGUGUCUGGUAAAUUACGCAGAGGUCAAAUUCUGCAAGAAAUGGUUUAUAAAUGUAUAGUUUAAUCUACAUUUUAAAAGAGGAAACACAUGAGCAUCUUACUUAUAGUGAAUCCUGUAAGAUGUCUUUUAGUUUAGCUUUGAAUAUUUUAAACAUCUGAGAAAUCUUAACGGUCUGCUAGACUUUGUAAUUUACAAAGGAUCAACAAUCUUGACCGACUGUGGCGGCUGUGGCUCAGUGGUAGUCAGACGUCUCUCAACCGGAAGGUCGGGGGGUUCGAUCCAUUAAAUACAUAUAGAGUUGCUGCUGUGACGGUGUAAUUUCCCUGCAAAGGAUGAAUAAAGAACCCAUCGAUCUAUCCAUCUUAAUUUAUAGAAAGAAAGGAAGAGAAAUAAUAAAAAACAUGACAUUGUAAAUAAAUACUAUUUAUUGAAAAUAUUGCAUGUUGUCAAUCUUAAAACAAAGACUUGUUUUCCUUUAUUAACAACAUAAAGUGUGGUUGACCACUCAGACUGCAGCCCUCAUCGUAGUUGGAAUGAAAAUCAAGCAGGAGUCUCCUUCCAGUUUCCCUCUGAGGUGGGAUUAAUUAGCAGGUAAUUACCUCCAAUGCCAUCAAAGAAGACUGUAGCGUUUGUUUGAGCAUGCGUACUCUACAAAUGUCCUAAAAGCAACAGCAUCUU